rnacentral:rRNA from 1 species
UACGUAGGCAGCAAGCGUUGUUCGGAGUUACUGGGCGUAAAGAGUGCGUAGGUGGUGCCCUAAGUCUGUUGUGAAAUCUCCCGGCUUAACUGGGAGGUGCGGUGGAAACUGGGUGCUUGAGUGUGGAGAGGUAAGCGGAAUUCCUGGUGUAGCGGUGAAAUGCGUAGAUAUCAGGAGGAACACCGGUGGUGUAGACGGCUUACUGGACCACGACUGACACUGAGGCACGAAAGCGUGGGUAGCAAACAGG